CACUGACCCUAAAACCUAGCCAGGGCGACAGGCCAUCGGAAGGCGGGUGUGGACGUUUCUGGUCUGAGAGCGGUGUUUUGAGGGUCUCACUCUCAACCAGGUUGGAAUGCAGUGUCACUUGGCUCACUGAAACCUCCGCAUCCUAGGCUCAAGUGAUUCUCCCACCUCAGCCUCCCGAGUAGCUGGGACUACAGAUGUGCUCCACCACGCCUAGCAAGCUGUACCCGACCACCUUGGGCACAUGUUGCCAGGACCUCCUGAAGCUGUGUCAUGGGUGCCACCUUAACCUUGCAAGGAACUUCCGUGGAACUUGAGCCUUCGCGCAGCGUAUUUUGGCAUCCAAUUUAAAGCUAGUAGAGGUCCGGAAGAUUCCCAGGAUUAAAGUCUUUAAACAGAAACUGUGAAUCUUGCCUAAGUAAAAGGUAUCAUCUCUGGGUGGGCUUGAACCACCAGCCUUUCGGUUCAAACAGCCGAACGCACUAACCGAUUGCGCCACAGAGACUCUAAUGGUUUAGAUUUGCUGAUACCAGAAAUGGCAUUUUAACCUCUGGCCGUAGAUAAUCUCAUAUGUUUGUAGCCUGUCCAAUCCCGCGCACUCCAGAAACCCAGAACACGGGAGACAUUGAAGCCAAGAGUCGAGUCUUUGGGCACGUUUGGACAUUCUACCUGGGCAGAGUCAGCUGGGGAACUCCAACGGCCAAACGGCCGCCUGCUCCUCGCCGUCUGCUCUUCACUGCUUCCCCCGCCUGCUUUUCACCAUCUCAAAAGUCGCCGGCCCCUCUACAGGCGACAACUGCAGCUUCUCCGGCGGAAGUCACUUGCUUUCCCAUUCUUAGCCCCGCUUCACACCUUGAGCUCACAGUCAUUUCCGCCGGGCCUGGGCUAGCGGACGCGCACGUGGGAAGGACCAGAACCCGUGGUGUCCUCACCGCGUCGCCCUCGGGCCCUCAGAGGUGGGAUCCACCGGACAGGGACCUGGAGUUUGCACAGGCUGCAGCCCUUCGCCCAGAGCCAGCCUAACACCUAGUAGGUGCCCAAUAAAUGCUCGGUGAAGGAAGGCAUUCCACCGCAGGGUUUUAGGAGAACCAUGAAUUCCCGUGUGAACGUUAAGCGUUUAGUCCUACUAGGAAGUCUGGAAUAUGGAGACCUGAACUGUUUCUCAAAGGCAGCUGUUCUUGUAUCCCCAGAGCCGGUUUAGAAUCCAGCAAAGGCCCCUGCCUGGUGGAUCCCACCUCUGGAGACCCGA